UCCAGACUCCUACGGGAGGCAGCAGUGGGGAAUAUUGCACAAUGGGGGAAACCCUGAUGCAGCGACGCCGCGUGAGUGAAGAAGUAUUUCGGUAUGUAAAGCUCUAUCAGCAGGGAAGAAAUACUGACCUUACGGUCAGCAGACGGUACCUGACUAAGAAGCCCCGGCUAACUACGUGCCAGCAGCCGCGGUAAUACGUAGGGGGCGAGCGUUAUCCGGAUUUACUGGGUGUAAAGGGAGCGUAGACGGCAGCGCAAGUCUGAAGUGAAAUCCCAUGGCUUAACCAUGGAACGGCUUUGGAAACUGUGUAACUGGAGUGCUGGAGAGGUAAGCGGAAUUCCUGGUGUAGCGGUGAAAUGCGUAGAGAUCAGGAGGAACACCGGCGGCGAAGGCGGCUUACUGGACAGUAACUGACGUUGAGGCUCGAAAGCGUGGGGAGCAAACAGGAUUAGAUACCCGUGUA
rnacentral:rRNA from 1 species